UACCGGCGCCACGAGUGGGGACCGCUUUUAUUGGGCCUAAAGCGUUCGUAGCAGGUCGUGUAAAUCUCUUGUGAAAUCGUUGGGCUUAACCUAACGGCGUGCAGGAGACACUGCUCGACUAGGGACCGGGAGGGGUUGGAGGUAUUCCAUGGGGAGCGGUAAAAUGCUAUAAUCCAUGGAAGACCACCGGUGGCGGAGGCGUCCAACCAGAACGGGUCUGACUGUGAGGAACGAAAGCCAGGGGA
rnacentral:rRNA from 1 species